rnacentral:rRNA from 1 species
CUGAUGCAGCCAUGCCGCGUGUGUGAAGAGGCCUUCGGGUUGUNAAGCACUUUCAGUAGGGAGGAAGGUUAGUUUUAAUAGAGCUGAGCUGUGACGUUACUUACAGAAGAAGCACCGGCUAACUCCGUGCCAGCAGCCGCGGUAAU